rnacentral:rRNA from 1 species
ACUGAGUGGCGGACGGGUGAGUAACGCGUGGGUAACCUGCCUCACACAGGGGGAUAACAGUUGGAAACGGCUGCUAAUACCGCAUAAGCGCACAGUACCGCAUGGUACAGUGUGAAAAACUCCGGUGGUAUAAGAUGGACCCGCGUUGGAUUAGCUAGUUGGUGGGGUAACGGCCCACCAAGGCGACGAUCCAUAGCCGGCCUGAGAGGGUGAACGGCCACAUUGGAACUGAGACACGGUCCAAACUCCUACGGGAGGCAGCAUG